CCUACGUGAGGCAGCAGUGAGGAAUAUUGGUCAAUGGGCGCGAGCCUGAACCAGCCAAGUCGCGUGAGGGAAGACGGUCCUAUGGAUUGCAAACCUAUUUUGUCGGGGAGCAAAAGACGCAACGCGUGGCGUUCCGAGAGUAACCGAAGAAAAAGCAUCGGCUAACUCGGUGCCAGCAGCCGAGGUAAUACGGAGGAUGCGAGCGGUAUACGGAUUUAAUGGGGUUAAAGGGUGCGCAGGCGGAAGAUCAAGUCAGCGGUAAAAUUGAGAGGCUCAACCUCUUCGAGCCGUUGAAACUGGUUUUCUUGAGUGAGCGAGAAGUAUGCGGAAUGCGUGGUGUAGCGGUGAAAUGCAUAGAUAUCACGCAGAACUCCGAUUGCGAAGGCAGCAUACCGGCGCUCAACUGACGCUCAUGCACGAAAGUGUGGGUAUCGAACAGGAUUAGAUACCCUUGUAGUC
rnacentral:rRNA from 1 species